GAUGAACGCUGGCGGCGUGCCUAAUACAUGCAAGUCGAGCGAACAGACGAGGAGCUUGCUCCUCUGACGUUAGCGGCGGACGGGUGAGUAACACGUGGAUAACCUACCUAUAAGACUGGGAUAACUUCGGGAAACCGGAGCUAAUACCGGAUAAUAUAUUGAACCGCAGGGUUCAAUAGUGAAAGACGGUUUUGCUGUCACUUAUAGAUGGAUCCGCGCCGCAUUAGCUAGUUGGUAAGGUAACGGCCUACCAAGGCAACGAUGCGUAGCCGACCUGAGAGGGUGAUCGGCCACACUGGAACUGAGACACGGUCCAGACUCCUACGGGAGGCAGCAGUAGGGAAUCUUCCGCAAUGGGCGAAAGCUUGACGGAGCCACGCCGCGUGAGUGAUGAAGGUCUUCGGAUCGUAAAACUCUGUUAUUAGGGAAGAACAACUGCGUAAGUAACUCUGCACGUCUUGACGGUACCUAAUCAGAAAGCCACGGCUAACUACGUG
rnacentral:rRNA from 1 species